rnacentral:rRNA from 1 species
UACGUAGGGUACAAGCGUUAAUCGGAAUUACUGGGCGUAAAGCGUGCGCAGGCGGUUUUGUAAGUUUGUCGUGAAAGCCCCGGGCUCAACCUGGGAAUUGCGAUGAAGACUGCAAGGCUUGAAUCUGGCAGAGGGGGGUAGAAUUCCACGUGUAGCAGUGAAAUGCGUAGAGAUGUGGAGGAACACCGAUGGCGAAGGCAGCCCCCUGGGUCAAGAUUGACGCUCAUGCACGAAAGCGUGGGGAGCAAACAGG